UUAAGUUCAGCGGGUAUCCCUACCUGAUCCGAGGUCAACCUGAAUGGAAGCGAUCCCUAACUCGUAGGGGUCGGGUUCGAGGCCAGCGUUUACCGGGAGCGUGCGAGCAUCCAGAAUAAGUCUCCCAUAUGCUCGGUCACCCUUGAUAAGCGACGCCGCCACUGCAUUUGGAGCAGGCCCCCCCCGGAAACGGGAGGGCC
rnacentral:misc_RNA from 1 species